UAACAAUUCUUUUCUUUUUAGUUUUACUUACAGUUUCGGUUUGAAAGUCGGAACGCCCCAUCGCUAGUGACACCAGUAGGUAUUUGUUUUUCUGGGAGCACAUGUGUGGGAUGUGAGCAGGAGGAUGUGAAAAUGUGAUAUUUUCCUCAAGUUUACCAACAUUUGACAUUUCUUGUUUUAAUCAAUGUGCCCAAGAAAAGCCUGGGGGAACCGCAACAAGCUGGGGUUUACCACCAACUCCGUCCCGUGGCAGCUGUGAAUUUCAAGCAAGAAGAAUGAAGCUCAGAUUACAGUGUCUGCAGACCAUCCGGAGAACAACUGUUUUCCAAGAGCAUAUUUGCAUAAUAAAAUGUGAAAUCAUACA